CCGUAAUUUUAAAAAAAUCUUAUUUUUCGUCCUUUUGAGUUUUUUCCAACUAUAAUGAAAACUACUUUAGAUAUCAAGAAAAUAACUUUCCCUGCCAGUGGCUAUAAUAUGUAUAUUUAAAGGAAUAAAAUCAAUCUCUUUUCAUUUUUCGAUUGGAACAAAAUUUCUGGUAGAAAAGUUGUUCACAAGCAAAAAAAAAAUAAAAACCACACAUCAUAUUAUGAUAUAUAGUAAAACAUAAUAAAAUCGAUAUAUCCCUCACUACGCUCCGAAGUGUAGUUAUUAAAAGCGUAUUUGAUUAAUAUACCUAGAAACUAUAAUAUUAUUAUUAUUGAUGUUUACUUACAAAUUUCUUUUCUUCCCUUCUCUUCCCAAUCUAAAAAGAAUACUGAUCGGACCCUCGUUGUUCAAAUAUUUAAUUAUGUAAGCAUGUCUUGUAUAAACCAUAUUGUAUGUAUAUUCGAAUGUAUAAUUAAAGGUAAUCGAAAUGAACGCUGAUCCACAUUGGACUUUACUUUACUUUUUAAGAAAUAAAC